rnacentral:lncRNA from 1 species
UGUUGAUCUUGAUUUUGUGGUGCCAUGUCUUGCUCCUGCUGACCCACUUCCUGAAUGUCUGUCAUUCUCACCUGUGUCUCUCCCUUUCUACUCUUCUUCCAGCCAUUGUCAUCACUUCCUCAAGCUGUCUAAAUUCUGCCCAGCAGUCUGUGAAAAUGUUGUGCUGAUGACAUAUGUAAGGACUCUAACUCCCCUCAAACAAUCUGCUCACCUGAAAGGCUCACUCCAGUUGUAAUAAAUGACACAUAAGGUCACAAUUCAACCGGUACCCACCUUGGAUACCACUUCUUAUGUAAACAUCAAACAUACACCCUCUUCCCACACACUAAUGUAUCUUGUAUAUUUGAAAUAAAAGUUAGAGAUAUACAUAUAGAGAUUAAAAAUCUAAAACUGUCCCCUCCCCAGUAAGUCAUGUAUCCGUUAAAAGAAUAUCUGGAAACCUCCAAAAGGAAGCCAAGCAUAGACUACUUGGAAGAACUUGAAGGAGCGAGAGCUGACCCCAUCUUUGUACACUGGCAGCACAAGGACAACAAUCAACACGGAAGACUUCUGUGACCAAAUGUGUGCACGUUUCUCUCCAUACACCAAGCAAGCAAUCUCUUCUGCAGCAGGCACCAACUGGAAGUCCUCCAAUUCAAUUCAAUUCUGACACUGUCUACCUGGAAAUGGCCUCAGCAACCACAGGCUGAGAGCUCAGUCCCACAAGAACACCUCCUCCUUCCAACCAGUUGAAACUCCACACCUCCAGAACUUCUCACUGACUGGCUUCGAGUUGGGGUUUCCACAGUCCUCUGUUUGAGUUUGAUUAAUUUGCUAGAGCAGUUCACAGAACACAAGGAAACACUUACUUAUGUUGAUCAAUUUAUCACAAAGGAUGUUUUAAAGGAUCCAAAUGGGGGCCAGGCACAGUGGCUCAUGCCUGUAAUCCCAGCACUUUGGGAGGCCGAGGCAGGCGGAUCAUGAGGUCAGGAGAUCAAGACCACCCUGGCUAACACGGUGAAACCCCG